GUCAGAGCUACUCUAGUCGCACCCACUCAGUCGUGAACUGGAGCAGCAGCCAGAGAGAGAGUAAGACAAUGGUGAAUGAGAAGAGGCCAGGUGACAGGAACCUGCAAGCUCAUCCAUCCACAAACAUCCACUGAGCACCUGCCACGGGCUGGGCCCCGUGCAUUCAACAACAAGUAAGAGAGACAUCCUCUGCUUUCUCAAAGCUCCCAUUCUAGUAUAAGGACUCGGUCAAGAUCCACAGGGACAUGUUUAAAAGUGCUAAGUGCCCAAGAGGGAAAAAGGAAAAGAGGAGAGAAAGUGUGGUGGGGGUAAGGGGUGGGCGCUGGCGCUGGGACUGAACUGUAGGUUGAGUAGCCAGAGAAGGAAGGAGGGAGGGAGUAUGUCCUACUGUGGGGAGAGGGCUCCAGGCCAAGGAAAAAGUGCAAAGGCCUGAGGCAGGCUCACGCUUGGCAUAUUGGAAUAGGGAGGCCAGUGGGGACCGAGCAGAGGGGGCAGAGUGGCAGAGAUGAGGUCAAAGCAGUCACAUGGACAAGAAUAUAUGGGGCCAUGUACAUCCUAGUAAGGGCUGGGUGUUUGCUAAGCAUUCAGUGUAAAGCCAGUGGAAGCUGCUACACAGAGAAGGACAGCUCUGACUGGGAUUCUCUCUGGCUGCUGGGUGGAGAACAGGUUAAAAAGAGCCAGAGGCAGGGGACCAGUUACCACAAGAAUCCUUGCGAGAGAACAGCAGGUGGAACCAGGGUGGUGGCAGCGGGGCUGGUGAGAAGUAAUCACAUCACACAGCAAAUGUGAACUGGAAAGGAUGGGGUGGUAGCAGAAGAGCUGAAUGGUCACAGCAGCUCUACUCCUCGCUGCAGUGACCAAGGCUGCCAUCGAGCAAACACACCUCAGGUGCCUGCUGUCUGCCCUGCCUCAGUAGUGCUGGGGACAUGGGGAGGA
rnacentral:lncRNA from 1 species